CACGUAGGAGGCAAGCGUUAUUCGGAUUUACUGGGCGUAAAGCGCACGCAGGCGGUUCGAUAAGUUGGAUGUGAAAGCUCCUGGCUUAACUGGGAGAGGUCGUUCAAUACUAUCGGACUUGAGGAUGAGAGAGGGAGGUGGAAUUCCGGGUGUAGUGGUGGAAUGCGUAGAUAUUCGGAGGAACACCAGUGGCGAAAGCGGCCUCCUGGCUCAUAACUGACGCUCAUGUGCGAAAGCUAGGGUAGCAAACGGG
rnacentral:rRNA from 1 species